ACGGAAGGCAGCAGUGGGGAAUAUUGGGCAAUGGGGGAAACCCUGACCCAGCAACGCCGCGUGAAGGAAGAAGGCCUUCGGGUUGUAAACUUCUUUUACCAGGGACGAUAAUGACGGUACCUGGAGAAAAAGCACCGGCUAACUAUGUGCCAGCAGCCGCGGUAAUACGUAGGUUGCAAGCGUUGUCCGGAUUUACUGGGUGUAAAGGGCGUGUAGGCGGAGAAGCAAGUCAGAUGUGAAAUCCCGGGGCUUAACCCCGGAACUGCAUUUGAAACUGUUUCCCUUGAGUAUCGGAGAGGCAAGCGGAAUUCCUAGUGUAGCGGUGAAAUGCGUAGAUAUUAGGAGGAACACCAGUGGCGAAGGCGGCUUGCUGGACGACAACUGACGCUGAGGCGCGAAAGCGUGGGGAGCAAACAGGAUUAGAUACCCUGGUA
rnacentral:rRNA from 1 species